rnacentral:rRNA from 1 species
GUAACAAGGUUUCCGUAGGUGAACCUGCGGAAGGAUCAUUAACGAAGUUUGAAAACGGGUAGUCUAGGUUGCUGGGUGCGGAAACGUACAAUAGUGCACGGCUUCUGUGCUCAAUCGAUUUCAACCCCUGUGCACCUUAUCGAAGUUAGUAGUCUAUCUCUUCUUUGUUUGUUGGCCGUGUGCGGAGUGGAUUACAAGUAGCGAGUAAAGCAAACGCGGUUUUUCUGUUAGUAGCUUGAAAACGAAAGUAAGUGCCGUUUGCUUGGCCGGCGAGGGGAGAGAGGGUCGAAAGCUUUGGCCUUUUAUAAACGCUUUGCAUGUCUUGUGGAAUGUAUUAGCUCCUUGUGGGCGAAAUAAAUACAACUUUCAACAACGGAUCUCUUGGCUCUCGCAUCGAUGAAGAACGCAGCGAAAUGCGAUAAGUAAUGUGAAUUGCAGAAUUCAGUGAAUCAUCGAAUCUUUGAACGCACCUUGCGCCUCUUGGUAUUCCGAGGGGCAUGCCUGUUUGAGUGUCAUGUUAACUUCAAACCCCUUGUCUUUGUUGGCUCGGUUUGGUUUGGACUUGGAGGUUUGCCGGCGUUUGAUGCCCACUUGAUUGUAGGCGUUUGUCGGCUCCUCUUAAAUUCAUUAGCUGGGCUUUGGUUCGCAUUAAACGGUGUAAUAGUAAAGUGUUCGCCGGGGUGCUUGCCUAAUGGGUCCGCUUCUAAUCGUCUUCGGACAGGGUCGCUUGACCUUCUUUGACCUUUUGACCUCAAAUCAGGUAGGACUACCCGCUGAACU